GCCUAGCGUACAUCGACGGGGCGACGCCAGCGGCUUGGUUCGCUCUUGCCGCAGCGGACGCAUCAUCCCUUCUCAUCGCGAGUUAACUCCGUGAAUGCUCGUGAGGCCGUGACUCAACGGACAAGGAGGAGGGGCAAAAUGGGAAGAAAAAUAAUGCAUGGCAAAAAAAAAAAUUAGAUCGAAAUCCUACUCAGGGCAUA
rnacentral:lncRNA from 1 species